CAAUGCCUCGCAUCCAGGGGCACCGCUCGAACUCGCCGUGGAGAGAUCCCGUCCGCUUCGGCGGCUCCGGGGAGAAGUCCCGGGCGUCGAAGAAGCUCCUCCGCUGGAGUGGCGGAAGGGGAGUUCUCGGCGGCGCGUCGAGCUUCGCCUCUCGAGGCCAAAACUCCUUGAAAUCCGGCCGGAAGAACUCCUUGCCGGAGAUCGCGGAGUCCGGUGGCCCUCUUGGGAGAUCGCCCCAACUCCGACACCCCGCCGCCGCCUCCGGCGUCCGGAAGCACCUCUAGCCCCAUUAGUCGGGCGACGAUUCUCGGGGAACGGCACUGCCUCUCGUCGGAUCUCUCCGAAGGCGACGUUGAUCAGAUGUGUAACGGCAUCUCUCCGCCUUUACGAUUCCCAACAGUCGCCAUUAUUGAUUAGUUAUGCUUGAAGCCCCUUCUAUGGAAGGAGAAUCAGCCUUGGUGUCCGGCAAACCUGCCACCGCCGGAGAAGUAUCACCCUACCCCGUUCCCCGAGUUCUCUCGGAGACAAACUCCACCUCCCCUCCUCUGGGCUUCGAAGGCUACCACCUUGCCGUCGCCCUGAGCCUCGCCGCUGCCCACCGGUGGACUCCUUGCGACUCCUUCAUGUCUGUUCGUCAGGACUAGAGUUGAUCAUGGAUUUUGCUUCGGGCCUAGACUCUAUUCAUUUUUAAUCGGGCUGCGGGCUGGGCUUAUAUAAAAUUUGAUAUUUUCUAUACCCAAGCCCGAUCCAUGAUCAGCUAUGUUUGGGACCUUAUGCAUUUCAACUUCCUAAGAGUCCAUGUUGCGCUCGUUCGCAUGGCAAUCGCUGAGCUCUCUGACUCGACAUCAUGUGCCCUUCGUCACCUGCCACCGGUUCCUGAACGACGGGAUCUAUGUCUGCAUCGACCAGGUGGUGGUGAGCUUUCUGGUGCUAAGAUUGAGCGAGGCACUGGUGAUGCAUUGGAAAAAUGGGAAGGAAUAGUAAGAUGCCAUUCGAGAUACAAUGAAUGUGGCCAUGAGAGACGAUGUCACCUCGCCGCCGGUGAUGUGUGAUCGGAACAUUUUCAAGUCAGUGUUCCAGUUGCAGGAUAGGGUGAGUGAAUGGAGAAGGUCUUGGAGUUGUUCUGCUAAGUGGAGGAUUCCUCUAUGCCUUCUUUUUUUUCCAUUUUCUUUGCUGGUGAUAUAUUGUAUUUUCGGUAGUCGUGUUGCAGCUUUUGCUCGUCUUGGGUAAUGGAGAAUCUUACAUCAAACUUUUCCUUUUUCA